rnacentral:rRNA from 1 species
UUAACCGUAUAGGGGAGCCGAAGGGAAACCGAGUCUUAACCGGGCGUUAAGUUGCAGGGUAUAGACCCGAAACCCGGUGAUCUAGCCAUGGGCAGGUUGAAGGUUGGGUAACACUAACUGGAGGACCGAACCGACUAAUGUUGAAAAAUUAGCGGAUGACCUGUGGCUGGGGGUGAAAGGCCAAUCAAACCGGGAGAUAGCUGGUUCUCCCCGAAAGCUAUUUAGGUAGCGCCUCGUGAAUUCAUCUCCGGGGGUAGAGCACUGUUUCGGCUAGGGGGCCAUCCCGGCUUACCAACCCGAUGCAAACUGCGAAUACCGGAGAAUGUUAUCACGGGAGACACACGGCGGGUGCUAACGUCCGUCGUGAAGAGGGAAACAACCCAGACCGCCAGCUAAGGUCCCAAAGUCAUGGUUAAGUGGGAAACGAUGUGGGAAGGCCCAGACAGCCAGGAUGUUGGCUUAGAAGCAGCCAUCAUUUAAAGAAAGCGUAAUAGCUCACUGGUCGAGUCGGCCUGCGCGGAAGAUGUAACGGGGCUAAACCAU